UUUUCCGUCUAGAACUUUCACACCAAUAAUCUAGUGAGUAUCCCUUAGGAAAUGAAGAGAAAACUGGACAGGUUUAACCAGACUUGGCCAUAGUAAAGCAUAGGCUUUGGGCAUAAAACUGCCCAAGAGGAAUAUUUGAUAAAAGAGUGCAGCUCCAUGACCUUUUUGACUGCUACACAAUCAGUUAGUGGUCCCUCUGCUGAAACUACUGACAACAGUGACACCUGUGAUGGUGGUUUUUGUGGUUGGGGCACCUGUCUGAUAGAAAUUGGGUCGAGGCUGAUGACUCAGUGCUCAAAACCUGCCAAGCAGCUGUCAGAUGGUGGGAGUUUUCACCAUCUCCUAGACUGGCUGAGUGCUAACUGCUGACUUUGAGAAAUACGGGUUAUGAGACUUGACCAGCUUCCCGGACUUUCCCUGUACCCUGAGUCCUCUUUUAUUUCCAUCACUAGAAAGGCAAAUGUGUUUGCUAUUUAUAUAUCCAAUGUCCAUUUUUAAUUUUCUUGUGUGUGUGAGGGUAUGUGAGCAAUUCUUGUCUUUAAUUUCAUCAUGAAAGAAACUUGUUCCUAUGCAGAAAGCCAAACAUGCUCUCUGCACUGCCUCAGAGCAGUGGAAACUCUUACUGAUUCUUUGGGAGGAGAAGUUAAUGCUAUCUUAUCACAGCAAAGAAGCCAGGGAACCUGAUCAGACACUGGCAUCUUUUACAAAGCUGCAUACUCUGCUCAGUGCUUGGUGAAAUCAAGAAAACUUCCAGACAGACUUUCAAAUGGGAACUCAUCUUUAGCUACUAAAAGACAAGUGUUUGGUCCACCUCCCCUAUAACCAUCUCCAAAGGGCACCUCACCCACAGGUGAUUAAAACAGGCAGAGCUUCUGCAGUUGUCUAUCUCUUUCAUUUGACUGAAGAGAGCUUGGAAGACCUGCUUGAGCUGGAUGGUUCAUUUUUAGUUGAUUAAAUUUAAGUGAAGUGAAGCCAGUCUCAGUAUGACCAGCAUAUGAUCAUAUAUGUAAAAUAAAUAACAUUGAGAAGAAGAGGUGACAGAAGAGCUUCCCACACAGGAAAGGUAGUUGACACUAGAAUAGUAAUCUUUCUCAUUAUUUCCCAGACCAUUAUUUCCCUUUUCCCAAGAUGCUACAACCUGUUGUCUUCCAGCAGGCAAAAGAAUGUGACUACAGUCAUUGCAAUACUGAAUAUGCAAUAUUCAUAAUACAGAGGAGAAAAUGAAGGCAAAGAACGUAAAUCAUUUGGCUACAAAAAUCUAUCAGUAUUAGAACCAAGCUAAUUAUUUAGGGGUUGCUGGUUCCCAUGGCUCUUUCAGACCAAGCUAAUACCUUAUUAAUGCUUAUCCCUGCUGUAUUUAAUACGAUAAAUCUUCAUUUAAGAAGCUGCAACUCCUAUAACAUUUAAUUACUUCACUGUGCAGCUUUAAGAUGUGAGUGGGUUUGAAGGAAAGAAGGAAAAAAAAAAGGGGGGGUGGGUUGACUUCAUUUGGAUUUAAUUAAUUUUCUCUGUGGUUUGCUUGGUAAAAGGCUUCUCUCCUAAGGUAAGGCAGCUGUGACUACACACUGAAGUAUAAGAAAAGUCAUAAGAUAGAGGCCAAGAGUUUGAAACCAGGUUACCACCUACACUGAGGCCAAACUUUCAGUUAUGUUGACUGCACUGUAAAUGCUGCUGAAAUCAUAAGGAUCUGAAGAUGACUAGAAAUACAUCUCUAUAACCUUGGUGGGGGAGAGAGUGCCAGGCUAUAUGCCCCAGCAAACUACCUUCUGCACUGAUGGAGGCCGUGAGAAGUAACCACCGACAGCAAGUUUACUGCAUCUGAGGUGAAAUGAGGCUGUUUCAGAGGGAACUGGAGAGCAAAAGGUCACUGUUUUUAAGACACUCUACGUUUCCAUGACUGCAAGAAUAUGACAAUCACACCACGUAUCCUUUGGCUUUAGAAAAUAUCCCCAGACACUGAAUAGGCAAUCAGCUUGCCUUUUUAUCAGCUUUUGCAGAGAAACUAGGCUGUCACAGCCAAGGACCUGACCAUUAUCUUUUUAUUUCACAUUUUUACAUCUCCCAGACUGUAGCUCACAGGCAAGCUGAACCAAUACAUCAGAACGAGACAGUUACUUACAACAUUAAAGGUCUUUAGAAGCUUCUUUCUGCAACAGAGCCCUGUUUCUGCCCCUCAUCACCCCAGUGAAUGACAAUUUGAAAGAAAACCAGAAGCCUUGCUAUGGAUUUACAAGUUUCUCAGAGCAAAUCACUGGAUGCCAAAGAAGCUGCCAGGCUACUGCAACUUGCUAGCAGUUAUAAUCAGCGAACAAAGGAGUCAGAGGCAGCACCGAGGGGGAACCUUUUGUGAAAAAUAUUGACCAGCAAAUUACACUGUAGACAGUGCUUUGGCACUUGGCUGUCUAAAGGUGACUCAAACGAUUCGUUUAGCUCUGCUAGCUGGUUUCUAAUUACACCAAAUGCCUGACUGUUGUCAGUGGGCCCAGUAUUUUGUGAGCGGGUGCUCUUCGCAUGUGUCAUUCAUUACCUCACACUGUACCAAGAGCCAUCUCUGCAGGGAGAAUAGUUGGCAAUGCCAUUCAUUUGGAUAAUUUCCUCAGAUAGUGGAUUGCAACAAACCCCUCAAAACAAUCCCCUUCUACACUUCCAAAACAAAUAAGAAAGAAAGAAAGAAGAAAGGAAUGAAGGAAGGAAGAAAAGGAGAGAAAGAGAAGAAAGGAGAGAAGAGAACAAAAGAAAGAAAGAGGAGAGAGAGAGAGAGAAAGAAGAGAAAAACAAGCCUACAAAAAAGCAGCAGAGCCCCCAGCCACCACAUGCUAAUUUCAGUAAAUGCCCAGGAAUGAAACGGUGGCAAGUUGCUGUCUGGGGUUUACAAACUGAACACAGUUUACCCUUCCUGGGUUUUAGCUGGACUCCUGCUCUGGUGCCAGAGUAACAGCUGUAGCAGCUGCACUUGCAUUUUGCCACCCAGUACAGGCACCUGCUGCGACCAAGGAAGUGAAAACCCACAAGAGAUGCAAUUUUCUUUUAAUUACAUUAGCCUGGUUUUGGCAGCCAGCCAUACAACAGAGUAUUGGUGGGGAUGUGGACUCUAUUCACAAUUAGAGCCUGUCUGGGGGUUACUUUUGACACGUGGCAGGGAGAAACUGGGCAGGAUCCAUAUUAGUGCUGAUUCCUGUUUGGGAGAAAUAAUCAAGACUGACACGUUUUUUGUUACAUGGUGGUAACUAUAUUGAACUCUUAGAUCUGUUUUAUGCACUUUGCAGACUGUCUGGAUCAUAGCAGUUAUAUACAUGCCACUGAAAUAUCCAGGGUCAAGCCACGGGCCUGAGGAGUAGUUGAAAAUCACCCGUGCUCUUUAAUUGCUAUUUUGACCCAAACGAUGCUGCCCCAGACGUGCCUGAGCGCAGUCUGAAUUAUGGCAUGGGUGAGGCUGCUCUCAAACAGUCUGUUCCCAAUAAGCUGUACGGAUAAGGACAUCAUCUUUUGGAGAGAGAGAAAGUUGAGGCAUGCAGACAUGAGCCGUGUGGUGCCAAUUCUCCCCAGGGCCACAGCAGGCUCUGGCCUGUUUCAUUUAUUCCUCUAGAAACAGCCAGCUCCACCUGACUGUCCCUGGGUGCUGUGGAGAAGGAGGUGGGCUCUGGGUGUUUUCCACAAGGGGAAGAAGCUGUUCAUUGUUCCCAAUGUGCUCAGUGGCUAAAAUUAUCUUUUCUGUAGCAGGUGCAUUCAAGGUUUUUAUGCUAGGAUGGUCACAAAUAAGGAAUAACGUACCAUUUCUUACAGCUUACAUUAGCUACCUAUUGCCAACUUGCAGAAUAUAUUGAGGAAAUAUCAUGACCCAACAACGCUGCUCAAGCAAUGCUGCCCAUUUAACCUCAGAUGCUGUGGCUACCUGAAUUAAGGCCUGUUUUCACCUUAGGCAAGCUCUUACUGUUUUUAACCUUCUGGGCACUGUUGCAGGACGUAAGCCAUGAUGCAAAGAAGAACUUUGGAUCUCCAUCUCACUUUUUGCCCAUCUACAUCAGCAAAGAUGCCUCAGAAGCUGGCAAAAAGUUUAGGUUUGUAAGAUGCUCACUGUGCUCACCUUGGCAAGGGGAUGUAAGUGGGGAAGACCCGGUGCACCUUCCUCUGCACUAGCAAAGUGUCUCCAAGAGACAAGCAAUGUGUCCCUUGUUGUUUCACCCAGACUUGGUCCCUGGGCCACCUGUGUAAGUGUGUAAGCAAUGCUUCUGGUAUGCAUAAGCUGCCACAAAAACCCUUCACAGGUGCCUGACUGUUUGAAUUCCCAGGGCGAUGCGCCACAAAACAGAUGAGUCUCAGCACACUCUUUCUGUUCAGAGACCUGGCAAGCCCCUGGAUCCUGUAGGAGCACACUGUGGACUCACGUAUGCCUGAACAAGAGCCAUCAAUCUCUCUGCCUCUGCACUAUCAGAAGGGAGCUGGCACUGAAAACAGAGCAAAUGACAUAGUGCAAGACAUUUCCACCAUGGCAGGGCUGUAGUGCAGACCAGAGACUGUGCGGAGUGUCAACACAUACGUCUGCAGGAUGCUGAAAGAUUCAGUCAUCAGAGGAGGAUGAGAGCUGGGCUGAGUGUUAACAGCAGAGUGCUUGGUCACGAGGAACAAAGGUGGAAAGAGAAGACACAGAAAAGGCUUCUCUGUCCUGGCUGAUCAACUGGGUGAAAUAUUUGCUGGAAAAAAAAAAUUCAUGGUUUCUUUAGUAAGGCUGUAAUCAUGCUCCUGUUUCUGAAGAGCUUUAUUCCCAGCAAGUGACAGGAUUGCAUAGCACUGUGAACAGCACUCAGGACUGUCUGGAACAUGAAAAGCAGGGCUUUGAGGAGGGGUGUCUGUGUGUUUUGAAUAAAAUUUUCCAGUUAAAAAUGUGCGUCAGAUUGUUUGUCAGUAAUACUCAUAUAAAAGAAAUCACACUGA